UACGUAGGGUGCAAGCGUUGUCCGGAAUUAUUGGGCGUAAAGAGCUCGUAGGCGGUUUGUCGCGUCUGCCGUGAAAGUCCGGGGCUCAACUCCGGAUCUGCGGUGGGUACGGGCAGACUAGAGUGAUGUAGGGGAGACUGGAAUUCCUGGUGUAGCGGUGAAAUGCGCAGAUAUCAGGAGGAACACCAGUGGCGAAGGCGGUGCUCUGGGCCGGAACUGACGCUGAGGAGCGAAAGCGUGGGGAGCAAACAGG
rnacentral:rRNA from 1 species